GCUGAGCUGGGUUGGGAAGAAAGUCCCGGAAGUAGCAUCAUUUAAUCGACAUUGAUGUGAAUUUCCAGAAAGGCCGACAUAUUCAUACUCAAAUGUAAACAGAUAAAAUCCAGUUUGAAUGUAUUUUAUUUAUUCCCAUGAUUACUAUUCCUAUUAUUAAGCUCUUAAUCUUUACUAGGCACCUUUCUAAGUGUUUUACUUGCAUCUUAUUUAAUCCUCACAACUCCAUGAGAGGUUAAGCAAUGGGCACUGAAUCACACAAGCAGAAAGUGGUGGAGGCAGGACUUGAACCCAGAUCUGCAUGACUUCAAAGCCCAGAACACGGCUUCCCUCUUCCCAACAUUCAGGACAGAACUGACUGUCAAAGUAGGCAAAAUUUAUUUAUGUCAGAAUCCAAUGGAAAAAAAUAGUCUCUCGUUUUAGGGGUAUCCCUGAUGUAUUCCAGCUUCCAAGUACUGAUUCCCUCCUAAAAGGCAAUUCAGGUCAGACAUACAGCACAACAGCUCACCUGACAGAACCUGGAAUGCAGAAGUGGAAGGAUUAGCAAGAAUGGACCAAAUGUUUGAUUAAUUUGAAUCAGUCAAACUAAAAUUGGUACAUUGUACAUGCCUACUCUGGACACUGCUUAGUGGGGGAGAUAAUGUUCGAGAUACAGAGAUGGCUAAGAAAUAGUCCAUAUCCUCUGAGAACAUAAAAGAGUAGAGGGGGAGACAAACAUUUACAAAAGUAUCUCUGAGAUGAGGAAAAAUAUGGUUUAAAAAAAGGCAAAAAUACUAAGAGUGGGAGUUGGAAGAGGUAGACCUAAAUGACUCCUUGGAAGAUUUGAAAGGGUUUUCUGGCCAGGUGUGGUGGUUCAAGCCUAUAAUCCCAGUACUUUUGAAGGCUGAGGAGGGAGGAUCGCUUGGGCCCAGGAGUUCGAGGUUGCAAUGAGCUAUGAUUGCGCCAGUGCAUUCCAGCCUUGGUGACCGAGUGAGACCCUGUCUCAAAAUUUAAUUAAUUAAUUAUUAUUAUUAUUAUUUGAGGUGGAGUUUCGCUCUUGUUGUCCAGGACGGAGUGCAGUGGUGCGAUCUUGGCUCACCGCAACCUCUGCCUCCCGGGUUCAAGCAAUUCUCCUGCCUCAGCCUCCCGAGUAGCUGGGAUUACAGGCAUGUGCCACCACACAUGGCUAAUUUUCUAUUUUUAGUAGAGAUGGAGUUUCUCCAUGUUGGUCAGGCUGGUCUCGAACUCCCAACCUCAGGUGAUCCAUCCACCUUGGCUUCCCAAAGUGCUGGGAUUACAGGUGUGAGCCACCGCGCCCGGCAAUUAAUUUUUAAAAAGAAAGGGUUUUCUGUGGAGGUGGCAGCUGAACUGGACUUUAAGUAUUGAUAGGAUUUCAACAGACACAUAUGAGAAGGGGGGUUAGAUAGGGAAGAAAGGGAAUUACAGAGAGAAGCAAUAGCAAGAACAAAGACUUGGGUCAUGGGGGGAAGUGCAGGGCAUGCUGAAAACUUGUGUUCUUGGCUAGAUGGAAUAUAAGGUUCACCAAGGGCAUAGGCAGGAGAUAAGGCUGGCAUUAGAGGGUAGAGAGCCUUGGACACCAGGCUAAAGGGUUAGAACCCCACUCGGCAAUAGGAAUCAUUUAGGAUUUUCACUUGUAAGGAGUAAUGUUUAAAAGUAUGCUUUAUAAUGACAUCUGUCAGUGAUAGUUGAAGAAGGUUUGCUAAUUUCCAGGCAAAAGAACACUGAGGCCAGGUGCAGUGGUCUCAUGCCUGUAAUCCUAACACUUUGGGAGGCCAAGCAGGAGAAUGGUUUAAGGCCAGGAGUUUGAGACCAGCCUGGUCAACAGAGCAAGAUGCUGUCUCUACCAAAAAAAAAAAAAAAAAAAAAAAAAAAAAAAAAAAAAAAAAAGAGAGAGAGAGAGAGAGAAAGGAACAGUGAGGCUGGCCUAAGGAGUUGGUGGUGGGCAGAUAAAGAGAGGGCAGAUGUACUAUACAGUGAACAUGGUUAGAAGAUAAUACUUAUCAGGCACUAAAAAUGUCGAAAAGUAUUUAUUGGCAUGAUCAAAUGAUCAUGACAUUAGUAAGUGUAAAAGAAAACAUAAUACAUAAAAUAUAAGUAUAUUCCUAUUCUUUUAAAUACCUACCUGUCUACAUACACAGAUACAUGCAUACACAUAUUUAGAGAGAGGGAGGGAAGGAGAGAGAGAGGUAUCUGGCUUGAGCAGCUAGGGAAGUAGUGUGACCAUUAGCUAGGACAAAGAAUUUAGGAGAAAUUAGCAGUGUCGGUGCAGAAAAUACAGAGUUCCUGUUAGGUUUAACCUGUGAAAUAUCCUGGGGAUAUGCCACAAGCGUGGCUGCACACAUAGGUCUGAAGCUCAAGAGAGAGAUUUCAGCUAUAGACAUCAGGAGCCAUCAGCCUUUAGAGGUUGCUUAAAACUUAGGAGUAGAUGAUACUACCCUGAAAAGGAGUAAAGAAGAGAGGGCAGCCGAAGACAGACCGCCUCCCCCCAUCCUCAGCAAUUAAACAAUACUAUUUACAGGGUGGGCAAAAGGAGUAGAGCCUGCAAAGAAUAGUCUCUAAAUUGCUAGCAAUCUAUAGUUCUACUACCCCAGCCGAGUACUGGAAACAUGUAACCUUGUUUCCACUUUAUUGAUAAAAUGCACAGGAGCUCUCCUCCAUCACCUUUCCUCACUCAAGGGUCUGUGUAUAAUUCUGACUCAUGCCUUUAACCCUUCUGCCUAAUUCAGAGGCGACUUCUCACCUCCUUGUAAAGGCCAACCAAUUCCUUGAAUCCGCUAACUUCUCAAUUGUCUCCCUCUGAUGGUGUACUCUGAGAUGUUCUCUUUAUCAAACAUUUUCAGCAUCCCCUGUGCCACUAGCUUUGUUUCCUUUACUUACAAAUACGCCAGGAUUUUCUCGAUCCUGAGAACUCUAACUGGCAUGAUUGUCUCCAAUAUUUCCUGCUGUUUCCUCCCUAUAGUGCCAAACUUCUCCAAUGCAUGGUCUACACUCACUCCACAGCCCUCUUCCUUAUAAACCACGGCAAUGUCAAGCAACUCCCUAAACUGAAACUGCCCCCUCAAAAGUUACUGGUAAUCUCCUUAUCUUAAAAUCCAGUGGGUUUCAUUUGGCCAUCACAGUCUUUGAUCCUUCUGCAAAUUUGAUGACGCUGACCAUCUUUCUUUCUUGAAAACUCUUUCCAUUUUGGUUCAAUUAACACUUACCGGUUCCCCUUUGGUUCAAUAAACAUUGACUGAACACCUCUUAGGUGCUAAAAUAAAAAAGAUACAAUACUUGAUAUCGGAGUGUGAGAAGUUUUAACCUAGUUGGGAAGUGUCAAUGAAUUUCACAACAGAGAUCUUUGCCCUGUUGAGAAAGGCUGAAGUGGUAGAUGCAAACUCUGUGAGUUGAGGAGUUCAGCCAACUUACAAUGGGAAGAGAGGGAGAGGAAAUAGCAAACGUAAUUGAUAUUGUCAAGAAAUUUACUGGAGAAGAGAAAAAGAAAACUUUCUAGAAAAUGCCUAUAAGUGGCUAUAGGACAAUGGAGCAGUGUUUUCAGAAUGUGGAGAGGCUUCAGCAUGUUCUUAGAAUGAAGAGAAGUGCAAGUAGACAAGAAGAAGUUGAAAACAGAGGAGAGAGAGAAGAUAAUGGAUGGGGCAAAGUCCUGGAAGUACCAGGAAGUGUUGGGAUGCAUAUCACAGAGCUGCUAUGAACAGAGGGAGGGCGCUCUUCCACUACAUCGUACUGAAGCAUGUAUGAUUUGAGGGUGAAAAAGAGUUCCUCCUUUGGUACUAUACUGGAGAGGUUAUAGAUAGGUGGCCCAAAUACUUGGCCUAAAGAUGUGGUUUUUUUUUUUGAUCUGCAAAGAAUUUUAAAGUAAUUGGAACUUGUUGCUAACACUUACAGAUCAUGAGAUUUCAAAUAAAAAUCUGUAUUACCAGCUUCUUAAAAACUAGAUGAGUAGGAUCUUAAGAAGGGGAUGGGCACGUUCUUCCUUAUAGCUAUCGUUGCACGUAUGUAUCUUUACUAUAUGAGGGAAUAGACUUAUGCAAAUGAAGGGAUUUGUCCAAGAUGACACUGUUAAUUAAAGACAAGGUUAGGUCUAGAAAUCAGGUCUCCUAACUCCAACUCCAGUGCUCUUUCCCUUAUAUCUCAGUGUGACAUAUCACCCCUUAUCUCUCUUGAGCACUAUCCCAUAUUGUUAAUUGCCUGUUAGGCAUUUCUUCCAGUUAGGGUGGAUCAAAAAUCCUGUGGCCACAUACAACACACAACAAUAUACAUAACCAUAACAACAUACUUCAUAUCUAUUUUGGCAAUAAGUCCUGUUAACUUGUCCUUCCAAAUGUUUUUUGGGGGUGAGAUGCAGUGGCUCACGCCUGUAAUCCCAACACUUUGGGAGGUUGAGGAGGGAGGAUCACUUGAAACCAAGAGUCCAAGACCAGCCUGGGGAACAUGACAAGACUCUGUUCUACAAAAUUUAAAAAUUAGCCAGAUACAGUGGUGUGCACCUGUAGUCUCAACUACUUGGGAGGCUGAGACGGGAAGAUCGCUCGAGCCCAGGAGUUCAAGGCUGCAGUGAGCUAUGAUCAUGCUCGCUGCACUCCAGCCUAGGUGACAAAGUGAGACUCUGUCUCAAAAAAAAAAAAGUCUUUUUAAUCUAGGCCUUUCUUUGGCAACCACUUCUACGACCCUAGUGGAAGUGGACAAACUUAUUAUCUUAAUACGGUUUUGCCUUCAGCCUCUGAAAGACUCAUAGAGCCUUAUAGUUGAAAAGAACCUCAGAGGUUAUCUAUAUCCAAACUUCAGCUGAAGACAGAAUUGUUUCUAUAUUACUUCUGAUCCUGACAAUGGUCAGCCAGCUGCUGUGCAGGGCACUCCCUACCUUCAGAGGCAGCUCAUUUCACUAGCAGACACCAGGGUAAUUACAAAGUUCUGUCACUCACCUAUGAAACAUGUUUACUAACAUGCCAGACACAGUGCUUGGGACACUGGAUAUAUAGCUGCACAGGGUCCCCAUUGGCCUUAAGUAACUUUCAGUUACUUGAGUCUCUUCAUCUCUAACAUGGAGAUUAUUGAAGCCUUCUUGUGAGAAUCACCUGGUAUAAAGUGUGUAGAAAUGCUCUUUAACUAAGGGCAAUACAUGUAAGGCUUUCCCCUCCAGCUCCCUCCUCUUUUUUUUUUUUUUUUUUUUUUUUUUGAUUGAAGACUGGGUCUUGCUCUGUCCCCCAGGCUGGAGUGUAGUGGUGUGAUCUCGGCUCACUACAGCCUAGACCUCCUGGGCUCGAGCAAUCCUCCCACCUCAGCCUCCCAAGUAGCUGGGACUACAGGUGCACGCCACUGUGCCCGGCUAAUUUUUGUAUCUUUAGUAGAGAUGGGGUUUCACCAUGUUGCCCAGGCUGGUCUCGAACUCCUGGACUCAAGUGAUCCACCCGCCUCAGCCUCCCAAAGGCAAGGGAUUACCGGCAUUAGCCACCACGCCCGGCCAGCUUUCCCUCUCUUCAACUAUGUAAUGUACUGGGGUGGGAGGCUGUGAUUCCAUUAUCAUCUUUUAAAUUACAUUUUAUACAUACAAAAGAAUAAUUAUAAUGUAUACAUGUGUUAUAUACUUAAUUAGGUUAAUACCCAUAAACCUACCUUUUAUCCCAAAAACUGCACCAUUACCAAUGGCAUCCACCUGUGUGUUUUUUCUCCUCCCAUCCCCAAUCUCUCUACGGUAACUAUUAAUACAUUUUGUGCUUAUCAUUCCUUGCUUUUCCCAAAGUUUUAUCAUAUAUGUAAACACAAUAUUGCUUAAUUUUGCUUGUUUUGGAACUCCUGGGCUCAGGUGAUCUUCCCGCCCUGGCCUCACAGAGUGCUGGGAUUACAGGCGUGAGCCACUGAGCCUGGCCUGUUCCUAAGAUUGAUCCACUCCGAUUAUGUACUUUGUACCUAUUUUCCAAGCCUCAUCUUCUUCACGCAGCCUUCAGAUCACAGGAGCACAAAGUGAU
rnacentral:lncRNA from 1 species